CUCAUUGUAGCACCAAAUCAGAGUUUCCUCCAAAAGAACAAAACGAAAAGGCCAAAGCUCGUGGAAACCAUUACUGACAACCAUGAUGCAGAGAUGGUGCGCCAAGCUUCAGUCUCUGGGCCUUCGGUCGACCCAGACUCUUCCUUCUCGAUCUUCUUCUACUUCACGUCGCCUCAUCCACACUUUCCCAUAGCUCCACCAAGCCCUCCAUUUUGCAUCGAGGAGUAGAUGGAGCUGCAGGCCCCUCCUCAAUGCCUCUUCAACAGCCCAUCCUUCACUGGCUUUGCACCCAUUUAUCUCCCCGCUUCCUCCAUCUGUAGUUCAAGUGCGGCAUGUUUCGUCGAGAGAGCGGAAGAAGAGGAGAAAGCCAAUGACACCGGUCACGUCCAAGUUAAAGAAAACCAAAAUGAAGUUUUAUUCGUCUUACAAGUCCAGGUUUAGGACAAUGAAUGAUGGGAAUAUUCGGCGUUGGAAGGAGGGAAAGCGGCACAAUGCGCAUUUCAAGGUAUGGCACUGAGAAAACUAUGCGGCUGACGCCAUCGAAGCCCACGACCUCCCCCUUACAAACACGCCGGGCCAUCACCAUUAGGCACCAUAUGUCACGCAAAAUAAGAGUCUGAGUUGCUAAUGUAUGUUUAAACUUUAUAUACAGGACAUGGUGAAAAGGGUACUCUUAAAGUCUCAUGCAUUCUAUUCAAAAAUAAGAGCGCUUUUAUCCUGCUAGUCAAAAAAGCUAAGCUGACAUGAUAAUUGUUAAAGAAAGGGAAGGUGUCCAAUAACUUAUAUAUACAUGAUUAAGCUUGUACUUAAGUCACAUGAAACACUUGGAAUCGUAACAUUUUUACUGCCUUUUGGCUAAGAAUACUAAAUUUAUACUCUAAUUCAAGGA